CUCUUUUUCAGUCCCUGAAUUACAACCAACUUGAUCAGCAUCCUGUUUUUUCCAUUUAGAACAGUCCCAUUGCUGCAGUGUUUCAGUUGAGCAGUGUGAUGUAUGCUUGUUAUCAUGUUGAUUUUUCUUAGAAAAUUCCUUAUAUCCUUCUUUAUACUUUUCUUCACAAGUCCUAGAUAAUGUAUUUGACUUCUUAGUGACAGGUCUAUCAUGAUGCACAGUCUCUGUAGAUGUGCUAGGUGGCUUUUUUUCAAUUCUGACAUCUUCACUCAUUUUUCUAGAUCUGUCUGCCUUUUUAUGAGGUACAUAUAAAUUAUACACAGAUGACAUACGUUUUCCCAACACAGUUUGUUCAGCUUUUACCUUUAGUUUACAGAGUUCAACUUUCCUUUUCUUCACCACCUUGUCUCUCUGAACUGCAAAGCUAUGACACAGUCUUUUUCUUCCUGUACCAUCACAAGGACCUUUGUUACAACUUCCCCUGCUAGUUGUCACUACAUCAGCAGCGCCCGUACUUUUUCCAUGUUUAACUUCUUUGGAUUUAAAAUGUAUAACUAUUCUCUUUCGCUUUUCAGAUUCGAUUAAAGAAAUAGCUGUGGUUUUGCUUUCAUUUGGAGAUUUUCCUUGGGAUCGUCCAUCAGCACCAGUAUUAGAACUUUGGUGUUGUUUCCUCUCUUGUCUGCCUUUCCUUGUUUUGAAUCUUUGAAAUUCUGUCUGUCUUUCCACACUUUUACUGUAAGACCUCGUGACUUCAGAGUUUUUGUCAUCCUGGCCAUUCAAAUUGUCUUCCUUUAUUUUCUUCAGUCUCUUUUUGGACAUCUUUCAAACACACACAUCCACCCGGCCGAAGCGAACUCCCCGG
rnacentral:lncRNA from 1 species